GGCGGCCGGGCCGCGGGGUGGGGGCACGGACGAGGUCGCCCAGCCAAGCGCGGCCAGGCCUUUGCCCCACCACCGUCCGCGCUGGCCGAGAGUGCCCACCUGCUGUCUCUGGGCCCUGGCACCAGCCCGGCCGCCUCCGCGCCCCACCCGCAGCUUGCACGGUGCGGUGUUGAAGGGCAAGCCUGGCUCUCCCGGCCCACAGCAGCUGAGCUCGCGGGCGUGGGUGGGAAAGGGGAGGCCGGGUCAAGGGCCGCUGCCCGGAAGGAAGAGCCCUCGAGGCGCCCUCCCGUCCCUGUUCCCGGAGCCGCUCUCCAGGCUGGCGGGCGGGGCCGGUGGCCGGGGCGUGACCCUGUCUCCGAGAGGAAGCCCCUUGGCCAGCUGGGGCCGGGCAGGUAGAUAGGUGGGACAAGGUCAGCUAGGGCAAGGGGGCAGCGAGGUCCCCUCUGGAGAAGCAGGAUGGCCGGGGACCCAAGUCCUUACCACCCAGGGCAGAGCAGGGACGCCCAGGCCUGGGCAGACCCACCAGGGCCGGUGCCCUCGGCUGUCUCCCCGUGUCCCGCCAGGGCUCCGAGACCCUGCAUCUGUGGGUCAGGGCUGCUCUCACGUGGCUGCUGUCACGCAGUGGGACCUCGUGUGUGGGGAUGGCUGGAAGGUCCCCCUGCAGCACACGGGCCACCUCCUGGGCUGCCUGCUGGGCGCGGUGCUCCCGGGUGCUGGCUGCGACAGGGGAGCCCUGCCCCUCAUGCCCUCUCCUCGCCACCUUCCUCCCGGUGCCAUCUGUGUCCCCACUCCCACCAGGUUUGGCCGCCGGGCUGUUUUUGUGUCCUCCCUGGUCCUGGCCACUGUCCUUGGGGCCAGCAAGGCCCUGGCUGCCAGUUUCCCUGCCCUCCUGGCCCUGCGGCUGCUCCACGGGGGCGCCCUGGUAGGGGCCUCCCUGGCCCUCUCUGUGGCGCGUGAGUACCAGGGAGCUGCCCCCCACUCUCCCGGGAUGGGUGGUUGCCUGCCCGCCGCGAGUCCUCGGCUCAGGCCACCCCUUCUGCCCCAGGCCUGGAGCUGUGUGACCCCGUGCACCGCCUGGCCUUCUCCUCGGGUGCCAGCCUCUGCUGGGUGCACUACUGCUGCCCAGGCUGGCCGUGUUGGCACAGGACUGGCGCCUUCUGCAGGGGCUGAUUGCUCUGGUGACCGGGCUCCUGCUGCUCUUUUGGGGGUGAAUGUAGUGGGAGCAGGCUGGUGGCUGCCCUGGGAGCAAAUGUACCUGUUCAUUCUCUCUCUCCGAGGAGAGGUCACAGCCAUGCCGCUGUCCCCACCCUCUGGGUCCGGGAGGGGCUGGCCUCUGCGACCCCGGGAAGGAGGUGGAGGAAGCCAGGGCACCCUCACCAACACCACAGGUUCCCAGCCCUGUUUCCCAAGUCUCCCUGCUGGCUGCUGGCCACGGGACAGGUGGCCCAGGCCAGGAGGAUCCUGUGGCACUUCGCGGAAGCCAGCGGUGUGGACCCUGAGCAGGGCUCCCUGGAGGACAGCUCCCUGGCUACAGAGCUGGCCGAGUUGGCUACAGGCAGCACCCAGCCUCGGUACCACUCGGUCCUGGGCCUCCUGCACAGCCACGUCACCUGGAGAAACACGCUCAUCCUGGGCAUCAGCUCGUGAGGAGGGGCGGCUGGGGCUGGGGCUGGGGCUGGCCUUGGCCCCUGGAGCGGGGCAUCUGUCCCUCAGUCCCACAGCGAGGCCUCCCUUCCAGGCUGGUUGGCGGGGGCAUCCGAGCCAGCUUCCUGCGCAGCCUGGCCCCAUGAGAGACAUCCUUCUACCUGCCCUAUUUCCCGGAGGCCGGCCUGGAGGCCACAGCCAUCAUCUGCUUGCUCCUGACUGCUGAUCGCUGGGGUCGCCGCCUCAUCCUGCUGCUGGGCACCCUGGUCACAGGCCUGGCAUCCCUGCUGCUGCUUGCUGGGGCUCAGUGUGAGUUUGGGGCCCCGUGGGCCACACAGGAGGUGGUUGUAUUUGGGCUGAGGGUCUAGGGUCAGGCCCUGCCUGGGGGGCUGGUGCCAGUAGGGGCAGUAGGAAGCCGAGGGCCCCAGGACUGGCCUGUUUUUCUCUCUGUGCUCUGAUGUACAGUUGGGGAAACUGGGUGGGGCCAAGAGUUAAGGGCCUGAGAGGAUCCAGGACAGACUGAAUACAAGGACCCCAUCCAGGUCCAGACUGUGAGGCACCUGCUCUGGGCACUGGAUGCAACACAGGCUGAGGGUGUCCUGCACAGUAGCAGCCAUGGCGUGAGCAGGGCCUUGGCCAGAAGGAGCCAGAAUUUUAAAAAGCUGGGCAUGCUGGCCCACAGCUGCCCUCCCAGCACUGUGAGGCUGAGGCAGAAUCCCAAGGUUGAGCUCACCUGGGGCACUUUAGUGAGGCCCUGUCUCAGAAUGAAAAACAGGGAAGUAGCUCUGUGUGAAGGGCCUUGCUUUAAUCUCCAGUACUGCCCAAAAUACAAAACAACACAAGGAAAGUACUCAGAAUUUUGGGACAAUUCUCAGAAUUGCAGAAGUAGCAGGAAAUGAGGUACCCAGCCUGGUGUCCACUGUCCCUGCACUGUGACCCAUCACGAAGAAGCCCCUGGAAUCAGCCAGGCUGGCGUCAGGCUGCAGGGUGGGGUAGGUGUGCGCCUGGGACAGCUGUGCCCACACGGGGAGGGAGGCCCUGUGUGGCCGGGCAGGCGCUGUGGAGAGUCCAGCAACCCUGUCCUUUGUCCUAGACCUGCCAGGCUGGAUCUCGCUGCCCCUGUCGGUCCUGGGCCUCCUGGCCUCCCAGACCAUGUCGGUGCUCAGCAGCCUCUUUGUGGCUGAGGCCUGCCCCACGGUAAUCAGGUGAGCAGCAUCUGCCCGGCAGCACUGUCCCCACAUCACCUUCCUGAACCCUGUGGCGUCCUGCGGGUGCCAAGCCAGGGAGGCAGAGCUCAGGGAAGUGGCUUUCUGGCUCCCAAUGGCAGGACAGAAUCCGCGGGGUUUCCUGGGACUCCAUCCUGGUCUGGGCCCACCAGCUGCACCUCCUCUCCCCACAGGGGCGCUGCGCUGGGCCUCGUGCUGGGCGCCAGGUCCCUGGGCCAGGCAGCUGCGCCCCUCACGGAGAUGGCCGGCCAGCGGGGCUUCUUCCUGCAGCACACGGUGCUGGCCUCCGUGGCCAUCCUCGCCCUGCUCUGUAUCCUGCUGCUGCCCGAGACCUGCGGCCGAGCACUGCCUGUGUCGCUGGAGGAUGCCGACCGCCCCCAGGACCGCCUGCCCCUUCUGCGGCCCUCCCACUGAGAUGGCAGCCACAGCCCCAUGGCACCCAGGAGCUGGGGGAGCCACGGUGGGCAGCCUCCGGCGGGGCAGACAGCGUGUCCACAGCCAGGGCUGUCCCCCAGGGGGCUCUCCCGGGCCGCCUGGCCAGGAGUGCAAGAUAAAGGGAGCCCUAGUAUCUGGCCACCUUCCUGGGUCUUUCUUGGCGUUGCCUGGCAGGGCCCGUGCUGUGCCCCCGACCCUGGGCCUGGAGGCGGCUCCGGCCCCUUUCUGCCUUGAGAAACCCUACUCUUGGGGGCAAGGACUGCGCCCCGCGAGGUCAGUGUGGCACUCGGCGUGUCAGGCGAACGGGGCUCGUUUUUUUAAAUUCAGAUUCACACACGGCGCAUCCACCAGGGGGCGCCAA
rnacentral:lncRNA from 1 species